rnacentral:rRNA from 1 species
GACGAACGCUGGCGGCAUGCCUAACACAUGCAAGUCGAACGAAAACUUCGGGUCUAGUGGCGCAAGGGUGCGUAACGCGUGGGAAAAUGGCCUUAGGAUCGGAAUAUCUUCCCGCCAGGGGUGCUAAAAAAGGCUAAUGAACUCGGACCAAAGCUUUAUAGCCUUUGGGUGGGCUCGCGUUGGAUUAGCUAGUUGGUAGGGUAAAUGCCUACCAAGGCGCCGCCUCAUAGCUGGUCUAAGAGGAUGAUCAGCAACACUGGGACGGAGACGCGGCCGAGGCUCCGACGAGAGGCAGCAGGGGGGAAUAUUGAUGAAGGGACGAAGGCCUGAGCCAGCCAGGCCUCGGGAUGUAUGAAGGCCUUGGGGGUGUAAAGCUCUUUUGCCCGGGAUGAUAAUGACGGUACCGGGAGAAGAAGCACCGGCUAACUCCGUG